rnacentral:rRNA from 1 species
GAGGCUGACGGGAAGUGUGGUGUUUAGAGUGUUCGUUGUAUGUAGAAUUGACGUCUAAGUUCUCUUGACUGGGGUUUGAUGGCCCAGAGUGGGUGUCAGGCCUUUAAGACGUUGGUUUUGCAUGCAUUGUGCACUCGAAGAGUCGGGUUGUUUGCGAGUACAACCCAAAGUAGGUGGUAAACUCCAUCUAAGGCUAAAUAUGAGUACGAAUCCGAUAGCGAACAAGUACCGUGAGGGAAAGUUGCAAAGAACUUUGAAGAGAGAGUUCAAGAGUACGUGAAACCUGCCGGAGUGAAGCGAGUGAAUCCACAUGGUUGUCAGUUGGAGUCAGUCGUAUCGGCUGGGACGCUUGGUGCUCGGUUGCAUGUGCUCUCCGGGGCAUGUGGGUCGUUCAACAAGUGCUGUCUGUCCUCCUGGUCGUGCGAUUUAUUUCUGGCUGGCAAUGAGUCACGAAAGGUUAUUGGGCAGCUAGAAGCGAGCAGAGUUGGUAGCACUAGCAGUUCCACCUCGGUUCUGUUGUGUUUGAGUGCGAAAGCUCGGCCCGUUAUAGCAUGUUCGGUGACCUUGGACAGCUUGCACUAAGCUGCAGUUGUGUCUGCCCAAGUCUUUGGGGCACGCUGGUUGUUCGAAUUGGCUUGUUUUGUUUGGGACUGGUGUGCAGUGCUGAGCAAGGCAGGUCGAUUGUGUGCAUGGGCAAUCGCGUCGCCAGAGAGGUGAAGUGCAUAACUGUUCAGUGGCCAGUUGGUAACUCACUCGUCCCGUCUUGAAACACGGACCAAGGAGUUCAGCAUGCAGGCGAGUCUGAGGGUUAAGCAAAACCCGACGGCGCAGCGAAAGCAAAGGUUGUCCUUUUGUGGCAACUGAGAUGUGAUCCGAGUGCAGCGAGAGCUGUACCGGCGCAACAUCGUCUCGUCGUAUCCCCGUGCGGGUGCGGCGAAGAUUGAGCCUGCACGCUGUGACCCGAAAGAUGGUGAACUAUGCCAGAGGAGGGCGAAGCCAGAGGAAACUCUGGUGGAGGCCCGAAGCGAUUCUAACGUGCAAAUUGAUCGUCAGACUUUGGUAUAGGGGCGAAAGACUAAUCGAACCAUCUAGUAGCUGGUUCCCUCCGAAGUUUCUCUCAGGAUAGCUGGCAAUCGGAUACAGAUUUGCACCCGGUAAAGCGAAUGAUUAGAGUGAUUUGGUUCGAAAAGAUCUAAACCUAUUCUCAAACUGUAAAUGGGUGCGUGCUUUGGCUCGCUUGAUUGGAGUCAAAG